AGAGAGGGACCCCGGCUCUGUCCUCCGGCCACCGGCUUACAAUCGUGCACGCGCUUCACGCACCGCCUUUGAUGCCGUCGCAUACGGCGGUUAGGGUUUUCAAAACUCUAUUUUGCGCAACCAAUAAAAAAGGUAACUCUGUUUUCUUUUUGUUUCCUUUGAUUAUAUUCUAAGAUCGGCGCAUUCACACCAGAAAAUAAACAUGUAAAUGGAAAAUAGUAAUAAAGUGAUUCGAUUACCUUAAAAAACAAAGACUGUCUUUUAUUUCUUCUGUUUUUUAUGAAUACAACCGUUUGUAAUUCCCUAUCUCUCUGUGUUUUUCUCUCUGUAUAUCUCUAUGUGUGUCAUUUACAAGUGAAAGGGAAGGCUUUAUAGCCUUAAUCCUUUACAUAUUCUGGGAAAGAAAUCGUAGAUUUCUUUCCAUUUUCGUGUCUUCUGUAUCUUUGACUAAUAUGCUAUGAUUUUCUUGCCCUUUCCUGCUCUGCUUUUUCGCGUAUCUGCUGUUUGUUUCCUUUUCUUGCAGGUGACUCACGAUGAUCUUGGUGAUUCAAGGGCUGCUGGCACGAUUCGAGGCCGGAUCGGGGCAUUGGUGAGCAUUGAAGACCCUUGGGAUAGCGCAUUAAUGGCGGCCUCGAUUUCAGGGACUGAACAGACGCUCUCCGAAUUCUCUAAAACCUCUUGCGGCGCCACAAUAUUUAGGAAACCCUAGGGUUUCCUGUUUACCUUAAGUCUUUUGGGCUGUUUCAAAUUCGGGCUUAGGUAUUUUGGGUUACGGGUGUAAUAGGGUUUGCUGGGUAGUUUUGAUUUUGGGCCUACUAUUUGGGCUUUGUAACCUGGACUUGGACUGUUUAAUAAAUAAAUAUUUAUUUAUUUA
rnacentral:lncRNA from 1 species